UACGUAGGGUGCGAGCGUUGUCCGGAAUUAUUGGGCGUAAAGAGCGUGUAGGCUGUUCGGUAAGUCUGCCGUGAAAACCUGAGGCUCAACCUCGGGCGUGCGGUGGAUACUGCCGGGCUAGAGGACGGUAGAGGCGAGUGGAAUUCCCGGUGUAGCGGUGAAAUGCGCAGAUAUCAGGAGGAACACCGGUGGCGAAGGCGGAUCUCUGGGCCGAUACUGACGCUGAGGAGCGAAAGCGUGGGGAGCGAACAGGA
rnacentral:rRNA from 1 species